rnacentral:lncRNA from 1 species
AAAAAUUACUACAUCCAGAAAAAAAAUAUAUGUUGCCAUAAAACAACAGUUUUCUCCACAUGUCUGAAGUGUCCUAAUGGAGAAGAAAGAUGAGCCUUGUUUAGUGUGAUACAGAGCUAUAACUGUCCAGCUCUGUGCCUCAGAGGAGGCUGAGCGGCACCAGAAGGAUAUAACCAGAAUUCUCCAGCAACAUGAGGAGGAAAAGAAGAAAUGGGCACAACAGGUGGAGAAGGAAAGGGAGCUAGAGCUUCGAGACAGACUGGAUGAGCAGCAAAGGGUCCUGGAAGGAAAGAAUGAAGAGGCCCUGCAAGUCCUCCGGGCCUCAUAUGAACAGGAGAAAGAAGCGCUUACCCACUCUUUCCGGGAGGCCAGUUCUACCCAGCAGGUGAG